GGCCGAUGUGGCUCAGGGGUAGAGCAACUGAUUCGUAAUCAGUAGGUCGUGGGUUCAAAUCCCAUCAUCGGCUU
rnacentral:tRNA from 1 species